UACGUAGGGUGCAAGCGUUAAUCGGAAUUACUGGGCGUAAAGCGUGCGCAGGCGGUUAUGCAAGACAGAUGUGAAAUCCCCGGGCUCAACCUGGGAACUGCAUUUGUGACUGCAUGGCUUGAGUGCGGCAGAGGGGGAUGGAAUUCCGCGUGUAGCAGUGAAAUGCGUAGAUAUGCGGAGGAACACCGAUGGCGAAGGCAAUCCCCUGGGCCUGCACUGACGCUCAUGCACGAAAGCGUGGGGAGCAAACAGG
rnacentral:rRNA from 1 species